GUGUCUCCAAUUAGAAAAUGUGACGUUUAUAAAAAGGGACCUGGAUUUUACCCUUUUAGAAGAGUGAUACCUUCAAGAUAUCACGUUCAAUAAGCUUAAGUUCUUGAAACUGGUGUGGUUAGAUAUCUCAAGGUGGGAUGCCUCGGAGGAAUCCUUUCCCCUGCUUGAAAAACUUGUCAUAAAAAGGUGUGACAAUCUUGAGGAGAUCCCCCUUUGCCUUGCAGAUAUUCCAACAUUGAAUCAGAUUAGGUUGAUUAGGUGCAACAACAAAUCUCAGGAGGCUUCAGCUGUGAGAAUUAAGCAAGAAGUCGAAGAGAAUGAAGGAAACGACCGUAUUGUCAUCAUUGCCCAAGAUGAUUGUGGAAACAUAAGGAAGCUAUGAGUCAACGCAAAUUAAAAGCACAGACAGUCUUUUGUGUGGCUAGGCGAAAAUGCAUCAGAUGGUUGGAUCACUAUCAAAUCAUUGUUUCAUAAUUUGGUGAUUGUUUUCCCUGUUAAUUUUUAUAAUCCUUUUCAUCUUACACCUUCAAAUUUGCUUAUAACUGGGUAUGGUUAAAUUGGAUGAGUUCUUUUAAUCCUUGUCCUUCGUCCCUCUAUUAGUUAUAAGGGUAAAUAUGUGCCAAAAGUAUAACCGGUGGGGUAUAUUUAAACUAUUUUCAA